CGCCAGACUCCUACGGGAGGCAGCAGUGGGGAAUAUUGCACAAUGGGGGGAACCCUGAUGCAGCGACGCCGCGUGGGCGAGGAAGUAUUUCGGUAUGUAAAGCCCUAUCGGCAGGGAAGAAGGAGGACGGUACCUGACUAAGAAGCCCCGGCUAACUACGUGCCAGCAGCCGCGGUAAUACGUAGGGGGCAAGCGUUAUCCGGAUUUACUGGGUGUAAAGGGAGCGUAGACGGCGAAGAAAGUCUGAAGUGAAAGCCCGCGGCUCAACCGCGGAAUGGCUUUGGAAACUUUUUUGCUGGAGUACCGGAGAGGUAAGCGGAAUUCCUAGUGUAGCGGUGAAAUGCGUAGAUAUUAGGAGGAACACCAGUGGCGAAGGCGGCUUACUGGACGGUAACUGACGUUGAGGCUCGAAAGCGUGGGGAGCAAACAGGAUUAGAUACCCUUGUA
rnacentral:rRNA from 1 species